CAGGCACCCAGACCAUUUCAUUAAGCUGAAGGGGUCUGGGUGCCUAUAGUGGUCCUUUAACACAAAUAAAUAGUUCAUGUUAAACAAGUGAGUUACAUAUAGUUACUUUGAAACCCGAAAAUCAUUCUCUGUUGAAUUGAAACUGCCCCAGCUUGCCCAGACUGGGUAUAUAGUGCCCACAGCAUUUUGGAGGUAAUUGGCAUAAUAAUCCUGAGAGUGCAGUUUUAUGCUGCAACAUUGUACCGUUCAUACCCUGAACAAGGAUCUUAGAAACCGCAG